GGAUACAGCUCAGGGGUAGAGCAUGUACCUCACAUGUGCAAGGCCCUGAGUUCAACCCCCAGUAUCUA
rnacentral:tRNA from 1 species